UGCUCCUGUAUAAAUCCAUGUGAGAGAUAGUUAGGGACUUUCUGCCUCAGCAGGCGGGAGACGUGAGACGGCACAUAUCUGUCUGUGUUUACAGACUGCAACACACUUUCUAAUCCAGAAUAAUAAUCCUAAAUCUGAUUUAUUGUGAGGGGAAGAAAUAUGAGAAUAAAGAAAGAAAGAAUUGACAUCAUAAAACCAAGAAGGCACACAAUAAAAUCAGAUUUUAUCAUCACUUUUACAUUCAUGUCUGUUUAUCAGUGAAGACUUUAGAUGGUUAAUAAAUGUUUUUACUGAGGUAUAAUUAGACCUUUAUGUCAAUAAUUAGGCUGGGUACUGACCUUUAACCUCACAUAUCAUUUUUUGUAAUUGGGUCGCCUUCGUUCUGUGUGUGGAGCGGAUUUCAGAAUUUGAGAUUUGUUUUGUUUGUGGCUUUAUUUCAGAAAGUUGGACUGAAGGAGGAAACUUCCACUCUCUGGCUGCUUUACGGUCUUAAACGAGGCUACGCUGUAGUGACACACACCGCUGGAGCAGAACAAACCUGCGGUGGAGAAAUCUGCUCAGAGGAGGGAACGUGAUUCCUCAGCAGCGCACCUGUUUCGGCUGUGCAGAAGGAAAGCUUUUGUCUUCUGUUUGUACUUCUUCCAACGCCCACACAGACGCAGGCUGCAUCCCGUCUCCCGUCGCAGACAGAACGAGUCAGACUGUCAGCCUGGCCUUCGCUGUGUUGGCUGGAUCAGGCGUUUCGACAGGCAACCCCCCCCCCCCCCCAUGGCAGUGCCUCGUCGCAGCUACCCUGUAACAACAUGUACUUGUUGUAAAAAAGCACACGCUGAGAUAUUUGCUCAGACAGACCCUGUUAUCAUGUUCAGGCCUAAAGGGAAUAGGCUGCUCAGCGAUCCUCAUGUCAGGUAAUUCUCUGGUAUCCACAGCGACUCUUUUAAAUCUAUGGCUUUUUGUCAGUAACCAUGGGAAUACACGUAAACAGAGG
rnacentral:lncRNA from 1 species